rnacentral:rRNA from 1 species
GACGAACGCUGGCGGCGCGCCUAACACAUGCAAGUCGAACGAGAGAGAGGAAGCUUGCUUCCUUAAUCGAGUGGCGAACGGGUGAGUAACGCGUGAGGAACCUGCCUCAAAGAGGGGGACAACAGUUGGAAACGACUGCUAAUACCGCAUAAGCCCACAGCUCGGCAUCGAGCAGAGGGAAAAGGAGUGAUCCGCUUUGAGAUGGCCUCGCGUCCGAUUAGCUGGUUGGUGAGGUAACGGCUUACCAAGGCGACGAUGCAUAGCCGAGUUGAGAGACUGAUCGGCCACAUUGGGACUGAGACACGGCCCAA